GAUGAAGAACGCAGCGAAAUGCGAUAAGUAAUGUGAAUUGCAGAAUUCAGUGAAUCAUCGAAUCUUUGAACGCACAUUGCGCCCCCUGGUAUUCCGGGGGGCAUGCCUGUCCGAGCGUCAUUACAACCCUCACGCUCAGCUUGGUGUUGGGCCCCGCCGCCCCGGCGGGCCCUAAAGUCAGUGGCGGUGCCGUCCGGCUCCGAGCGUAGUAAUUCUUCUCGCUCUGGAGGUCCGGUCGUGUGCUCGCCAGCAACCCCCAAUUUUUUUCAGGUUGACCUCGGAUCAGGUAGGGAUACCCGCUGAACUUAAGCAUAUCAAUAAGCGGAGGA
rnacentral:misc_RNA from 1 species